CGAGAGGGGUUUAGACCGUCGUGAGACAGUUCGGUCCCUAUCUGACGUGGGCGCUGGAGAAUUGAGGGGGGCUGCUCCUAGUACGAGAGGACCGGAGUGGACGCAUCACUGGUGUUCGGGUUGUCAUGCCAAUGGCACUGCCCGGUAGCUAAAUGCGGAAGAGAUAAGUGCUGAAAGCAUCUAAGCACGAAACUUGCCCCGAGAUGAGUUCUCCCUGAGACUUUAAGUCUCCUGAAGGAACGUUAAAGACGACGACGUUGAUAGGCCGGGUGUGUAAGCGCAGCGAUGCGUUGAGCUAACCGGUACUAAUGAACCGUGAGGCUUAACCUUACAACGCCGAAG
rnacentral:rRNA from 1 species